AGGAUACUAGGUGCCCAGAGCUGGACUAGACACCUUCGUGGAUGCAAACACAUCUUCUCUCAAAUGACAUAGGAGACGUAUCAGACAAACGACACCUGCAAGAAGAAUUGAUUUUGAACACUCAUCCUUGGACGUCGUUCCCAGACCUUUCACCGUCUUGUGAUCUACAGUGGUACUUAUCUACAAUGCUCUUUUACUUCUUAUUUCUUGGCACCAUUCUCUUAACAGUGGAGACUACAGCUGAAUUGGCUUUUGAUGCCACAACAUUAUACUUUUGGUUGAGUUUAUUAUCAACUAAAAUGCCAAAGCAAGCUCUCCUCUGUCCCCUACAAAACAUAUGCACUCAACUAAUUGAUUCUUCAAACCCAAAGGAGAUUUUUACAAAACAAUUUCAUCAAUCUUGCCUAUCCAGAUCUUAG
rnacentral:lncRNA from 1 species